rnacentral:rRNA from 1 species
UACGUAGGUGGCAAGCGUUGUCCGGAAUUAUUGGGCGUAAAGCGCGCGCAGGCGGUCCUUUAAGUCUGAUGUGAAAGCCCACGGCUCAACCGUGGAGGGUCAUUGGAAACUGGGGGACUUGAGUACAGAAGAGAAGAGUGGAAUUCCACGUGUAGCGGUGAAAUGCGUAGAGAUGUGGAGGAACACCAGUGGCGAAAGGCGACUCUUUGGUCUGUAACUGACGCUGAGGCGCGAAAGCGUGGGGAGCAAACAGG